CGGGAAGUGGCCUAGUUCGGCUAAGGCGCCUGCUUUGGGAGCAGGAGAUCGGGAGUUCGAAUCUCCCCUUCCCGA
rnacentral:tRNA from 1 species